CCGCACGCACCCAACCCUGUUACCACUUUUUUUUAGCAUAGUAGAAGAAGAGGAAAGCAACGAAUCUCGUGACACGCCGAACUUGACCUCAUCUGACAGCGUUCCAAAAGAAUGGAUAGAGCAAAGGCUUUCACUUCGUCCAACACGCCGACGACUUUGCGGUUCACGAAGUUCCCUCUGGAUCGGGUCAUUCGCACAAAGCCACGACCUCCCCUCACCCGGACCCACGUGAUCAGCUCGCAUCAGCGUCGGACCUCCUUUUUGCUUUUGUGGCAGAAUGGGAACAUCCCCGCAGCAAGGAAAAUGAUGAGAACGGAAGUCCAAAGAUGUGGCCGAAAAGUGAGGAGAAAAGCCAGAUGGAGACGGUGCGCGACGAAGAACUGACGAGGAGCUGUGGAAACUCACAUCAUUUGCCUGUCAGAAUUAAUUAGGGCUAAAAUGGUGAGCUGCGCACACACACACACACACACACACACACACACAUUAAUUUGAGAAUCUCAUUUCAGAUCUGAUUAAUUACUUUCUCACGCUUGACGAAGGAAAUCAGCAGCAAAAGUGAGGGGAUUAACACGCGUGCGCGCGCUCGCAAGACGCGAAAGCAAUUAUUCAUUCAGUUUGGGAUCAUUUCUUAAGCGGCCACCAGCCGCGACCUUUGACCCUGCUCACGGUGCCAAAGGCGCUUCGUUCUUUUUCGCGUCGCUGUCUUUGUAUUUUAAAACCCACUUUUGACUCCGCUGCGGGAAGGGC